rnacentral:rRNA from 1 species
UAGGGAAUCUUCGGCAAUGGACGGAAAGUCUGACCGAGCAGCGCCGCGUGAGUGAAGAAGGUUUUCGGAUCGUAAAACUCUGUUGGUAGAGAAGAACGUUGGUGAGAGUGGAAAGCUCAUCAAGUGACGGUAACUACCCAGAAAGGGACGGCUAACUACGUGCCAG